GACGAACGCUGGCGGCGUGCUUAACACAUGCAAGUCGAACGGAAAGGCCCUGCUUUUGUGGGGUGCUCGAGUGGCGAACGGGUGAGUAACACGUGAGUAACCUGCCCUUGACUUUGGGAUAACUUCAGGAAACUGGGGCUAAUACCGGAUAGGAGCUCCUGCUGCAUGGUGGGGGUUGGAAAGUUUCGGCGGUUGGGGAUGGACUCGCGGCUUAUCAGCUUGUUGGUGGGGUAGUGGCUUACCAAGGCUUUGACGGGUAGCCGGCCUGAGAGGGUGACCGGCCACAUUGGCACUGAGCUACGGCCCAGACUCCUACGGGAGGCAGCAGUGGGGAAUAUUGCACAAUGGGCGGAAGCCUGAUGCAGCAACGCCGCGUGCGGGAUGACGGCCUUCGGGUUGUAAACCGCUUUCGCCUGUGACGAAGCGUGAGUGACGGUAAUGGGUAAAGAAGCACCGGCUAACUACGUG
rnacentral:rRNA from 1 species